CUGUGCUAGAUGGGGAGUUAGCGGUGCCCUGUUUCCUGCAAUCCGCUAUAGCAGGGUCGAAUUCCCUUCCGAGGCCUUCUCCGCCAUGAUUGUAACGGCGGCAGGCGAUGUUGAUAGUCCAAGUCCUUCGCAAUGAAAUGGUGCCCAACUCCGUCAGGACCGGAAGGGAGCAGCGGUAAGCAUUUUUUUCGUGUGCCGGGGGAAUGCUUGGCUGGAGUCGUUUGUUGCUCGCUACGCGUGGCAGCGAAAGGUCGGAGAUGGGUGCACAG
rnacentral:SRP_RNA from 2 species